UGGCUCAGAUGGUAAAAGCAUCUGCCUGCAAUGCGGAAGACCCAGGUUUGAUCCCUGG
rnacentral:tRNA from 1 species